CAGUGACUGUACAUGUCAACUCCUUUUGCCUCCAGGUAUACUUGAAACUACUGGAGACAAGACUGGAAACAUGAAGCCAUGUCUGGAGCCUGCAAGUCUGCAAGAUACAGUUCAAUCUAGUUCAAGCAUUUAAAUGUGUAUGAAAGGUCUGGUGCUUAUUAUGAGACUUUAGUGAGUGCAUUCUGUCUGUCUUUCUGUCUGUCUCUGUCUCUUCCAGCCUCUAACAUCACUUUUGUUUUUUCCAUGAAUUGAUUUAAGUGACAUAGCAAGUUUAAAUUCAGUUGGACUGGUUAAUGAGAGGAAUAUAUUAUUUUGCACUUA